AUGGGCGCGCGGCGACCGCGGGGCCCGCGCGGCUCCCAGCGCUGUCACGUGCUCACCGGCCCCAGCCCGGCGCUGCUCGGCUGCGGGGUCGGAGGGGGGGUGGGCGAGGGAGGGAGGGAAGAGGAAGGCGGCGGCGCUAAAUUGGUUCCAUGCUUUGAGGACGUGGACACUUUGAGGCUUUCGGGAGGAAAAUCUGACUCGCCGUCUGAUUUUUUUUCUUUUUUUUUUCAGACGUUCCCCGCCCCUCGCCCUGCUUUGUUGGCCUCGCCGGGCGGCGGGCAGCGCCGGGAGCGCGCUCCGAGGGCUGUCGGAGCGGGAGCUGUCCAGGGCCUGGGGCCGCGGCCGGGGAAGGGCUGCACCCCCUGCCCGAGCCCUCGUACCGCCCUACCGAGCGCAGCGCCGCGCGCUCCCUACGGCGGACGCGGUGCCGCAGCUCAGCCCGUCCCGGCCGUUCGCCCUCCUCACGGAGGUCCCUGCGGGCACGGAGCCGCGCGUUCCCCCUCCCGACCUCGCAGCGUGCGGCACGAGGCAGCCUCGGGUGCCGCCCCUUCCCCAGCGCACACUGCCUACGGGCCGGGAGCCCCACGGUGUCGGAGGAGGGAAGGCACCCCGCAGCCCCCUGCGCGCCCGGCAUUCAGCCGAGGGGAUCUCGCCACGUCUGGUUCUGCUUUCCGGGCUGGGGAACCGCACGGGCCGCCCCACGGCUCGCAGGAAGGACCGAGAAGAACUGUCCUCACCGCACCGGGACACCCCCCCCCAAGCCCCUCGCCCCCGCCGCCGGCGGGCUGCAUCACUUGGGGUCGCCCAUCCCGGCCCCGCAGCCCACGCGAGCUGACGUGGUGCCGCGCCCGGCGGUGCCAAGGCGGUCAGCCGGCCCCUCCGCGCGAUGAGGGCAGUCAGUCCCGGAUCGGCGCGGGCCCCUCUCCGUGGCGGAGGGGGCGAGGAGGGCGUGGCGGCCCGCUUCCCUCCCCCGGCCCCACCCCGCGGCUGUGGGUCGCGGCGCAGGCGGAUCCCGCUCAGACGCUUCAGCGAGCCGCGGCCGGCCGCGGUGCUUGUGGGGGGCGGGAGGGUCCCGCAGCCCGUCCGGGAGAGUGCCCGGCUGAACGCAGCCCUGCGGGGAGGCUGAAACGCAGCACCGGCAAAAGGGAACACAACAAAGAAUGUCUGACCCCAAAGUGGGCGCACAGUGGAUGGGGAUACAAAAGUGUAAUAAACGUGUACCGCUUGAACAGAACUCUUUCAGAUUGUUUCCUCGGUGUGAAUGGUAACAAUUUAAAUCAAAUAGGAUGUAAAACUAAGCUGGGCAGCAAAGUGAGCUGCUUCAAAGUUCACGUAAGUCUAAAGUUACUCAGUAGGCUUCAGAUAACUUGA
rnacentral:lncRNA from 1 species